ensembl:lncRNA
AUUCUGAGAGAGAAUGCUUUUCUAUUGACAUGGUAUCUUAAUUAAAUCUACAAAUGGAACACGUCUUUGGUGUUUUCAGUAAUUUUUUUCUCCUGCGAAUUACUUUCAAUAUUUGUUUGUUCUUCAGCCAGAAAUGCAGUCCAAGGGAAGCUGGAAACAAUGCUCAGCUUAGAAUCUUGAUAUUAGCACAUACAGUCUACAUAAAGACAUUAAAAUCACACAUUAAGCAAAGCCUCGGACUCCACAGAAGAGAAUGAAGUGAAUUUAUGAAUGUCACAAAAGAUUACUGAUCUCCAAGAUAGGCAGUUAUCCGGCUUCCUGGUAAUUGCAGAUGGCCAGUAAGAAAAUGCACAAAUGGCUGAGGAACUGGACAAGCUGAGAUUCCCUUAUUCUCGAAAACAACCGGCGUUCUAUCUCCAAAUCAGAAAAAUAUCUGAGGAAAAACUGCAGGAGUGCAGAAUAGAGAGCAACAAGCCUAGAUGCUUUCCCCAGACUGCUAUGUUCACUCACGGGACUCAACUCAAGAAGCUUAACUGCUGUCACACGAGGUGCAUAAGAGGCAAAGGAGGCUGAAAACAUUCACAUUGCAGCUACUCUAACUUGCCUUUCUCACUACUUUCAGUUUCUUGCUCUAUGUCAUGUUACACUGUCAUUCAUAUAUAGAGUUUGUACAUGAACUGAUGACCGAUGAUGAACUGUUGUUAAAGAUCAAAUUCCCACUACCAACCCAUCCUUUCUGAACUGAACUGUAAAAUGAGUCUUUACUCACUGUCUAACCCUAGCCCAAUUCAAAUAAAGCCAUUGACUUCAGCAAGCUGGCUUGUAUGAAUAAGUCUUGUGAAGACAUGGCCUGUAUGUUCCAAACUGUCUCAUUUUUUGUCACGUUGACACCAGGGACUUGUAUCCUUUGAAGGUUCUUGUGAAGCCUUCACCCUCUUGUCCUUGUGAAGUCCAGCAGUAGCAGUAACUUUGAAGAUGUAGCUACUCUUUUUUCAUCUAUGCUGCCCCUUUGUCCAACAGCCCUUUACUUUAACACGAACAUUUUCUUCUAGUAUGCAAUGUAAAAUCCCCAGUUGCCUUUCUUGGAAUACUGUUGGAAAGGCUUAAAGCCAGUGCUCCGCGUUUCCCACUGCCAGUCAAUACUUCUCUGCCCUCUGUCAAAGUUACAAAACUGGAGAAAGGCAGUGGCUGUGAAAUAUAUGUUGUCCAUGAGCUCACCUAAGAAAUGACGCAGUGAAUAGUCAUUUGUUCCCUAUUGCAUAAUGGUCAUUUUUCCACGAAUACUGCUUGAAGCAGUACAGAGAAUACAUUUGCAUAAACCAUUUGUUAGGAACAGAAGACUCUUUGUGAAGAACUAUUAAAAAACCACAUAAUCUACUUUUCUGUUCUUAUGCAGGUUCCAGUGAGAACACAGAGCUCCUUUGUAAACAGAAUCUAAAUACAAGGGCUGGGUAUGUUUUUCCUGCAAUCAAGAUUCCAUAAAUAAUAAAAUUGGAGUUCAAAACCAGAAGUACCUGAAAUUGUUAAAUGUAAUGUUAAUGAUUUCCUGGCGGUAGCUGAAAUUCAGAAAGUUUAACACUACUGGUAUCCGUGCUAUUUUGACCGAGGUGAACCCCUGCUCCCCAAGUUCUGCUAAAUAAAGCUGUAAUUAAUCUGCAGUAC